rnacentral:rRNA from 1 species
UACGGAGGGGGCUAGCGUUGUUCGGAAUUACUGGGCGUAAAGCGCACGUAGGCGGAUGUUAAGUCGGGGGUGAAAUCCUGGGGCUCAACCUCAGAAUUGCCUCCGAUACUGGCAGUCUCGAGUGCGGGAGAGGUGAGUGGAAUUCCCAGUGUAGAGGUGAAAUUCGUAGAUAUUGGGAAGAACACCAGUGGCGAAGGCGGCUCACUGGCCCGUAACUGACGCUGAGGUGCGAAAGCGUGGGGAGCAAACAGG